rnacentral:rRNA from 1 species
AUUGAACGCUGGCGGCAGGCCUAACACAUGCAAGUCGAGCGGAUGAAGGGAGCUUGCUCCUGGAUUCAGCGGCGGACGGGUGAGUAAUGCCUAGGAAUCUGCCUGGUAGUGGGGGAUAACGUCCGGAAACGGGCGCUAAUACCGCAUACGUCCUGAGGGAGAAAGUGGGGGAUCUUCGGACCUCACGCUAUCAGAUGAGCCUAGGUCGGAUUAGCUAGUUGGUGGGGUAAAGGCCUACCAAGGCGACGAUCCGUAACUGGUCUGAGAGGAUGAUCAGUCACACUUGAACUGGGACACGGUCCAGACUCCUACGGGAGGGCGCAGUGGGGAAUUUUGGACAAUGGGCGGAAACCUGAUCCAACCAUGGCGCGUGGGUGGAAAAAGUCUUCGGAUUGUAAAGCACUUUAAGUUGGGAGGAAGGGCAGUAAGUUAAUACCUUGCUGUUUUGACGUUACCAACAGAAUAAGCACCGGCUAACUUCGUG